rnacentral:rRNA from 1 species
AUUGAACGCUGGCGGCAUGCCUUACACAUGCAAGUCGAACGGUAACGCGGGGUAACCUGGCGACGAGUGGCGAACGGGUGAGUAAUAUAUCGGAACGUGCCCAGUAGUGGGGGAUAGCCCGGCGAAAGCCGGAUUAAUACCGCAUACGACCUACGGGUGAAAGCAGGGGAUCGCAAGACCUUGCGCUAUCGGAGCGGCCGAUGUCAGAUUAGCUUGUUGGCGGGGUAAAAGCCCACCAAGGCGACGAUCUGUAGCUGGUCUGAGAGGACGACCAGCCACACUGGGACUGAGACACGGCCCAGACUCCUACGGGAGGCAGCAGUGGGGAAUUUUGGACAAUGGGCGCAAGCCUGAUCCAGCCAUGCCGCGUGCGGGAAGAAGGCCCUCGGGUUGUAAACCGCUUUUGUCAGGGAAGAAACGCUCCGGGUUAAUACCCCCGGAGUAAUGACGGUACCUGAAGAAUAAGCACCGGCUAACUACGUGCCAGCCGCCGCAGU